rnacentral:lncRNA from 1 species
GCCUUCUGGAACAAUGGUGCACUCUCCAGGGCCAGGCGCGCUCGGUCGCUGAUGGCUGCAGACAGAUGUGCACAGAGAAGGGCUCCAAGGGACAGGCUCUGGUGACUGUCUGGGAUGGAGGUGGAAACUCUAUCCCCUCCACUUGAAUCUGCACAAACUUAUGACUACUUCAACUAGCAGAGAAUGGUAGAAGUGAUGCUAUAUGACAA